AUACGUAGGGGGCGAGCGUUGUCCGGAAUGAUUGGGCGUAAAGGGCGCGUAGGCGGCCUGUUAAGUCUGGAGUGAAAGUCCUGUUUUCAAGAUGGGAAUUGCUUUGGAUACUGAUGGGCUUGAGUGCAGGAGAGGUUAUCGGAAUUCCCGGUGUAGCGGUGAAAUGCGUAGAGAUCGGGAGGAACACCAGUGGCGAAGGCGGGUAACUGGACUGCAACUGACGCUGAGGCGCGAAAGUGUGGGGAGCAAACAGGAUUAGAUACCCUGGUAGUCCACAUUGUAAACGAUGAAUGCUAGGUGUAAGAGGUAUCGACCCCUUUUGUGCCGGAGUUAACACAAUAAGCAUUCCGCCUGGGGAGUACGGCCGCAAGGUUGGAACUCAAAUGAAUUGACGGG
rnacentral:rRNA from 1 species